AUGCGCAUUCACUCCGCGCGCUCAAGCUGCCUCCCGAGAUGCUCAGCUGUGGACGAUUUCAAAAUGUUUGAUAUAAAGGUUGCUGUCACAUAUUAUAUACAGGAAUUGUUCAUUAAAAAAAAGUCAAAAUAUAUUGUUAGUUUUAUGCUAACAUGCAAUCAAGGUCUUCAGAUACUAUAUAAGAUACAAGUUAAUUUAGACUAUUUAACAUGCACUGUGACAUUUUACCGUUUCAACUUAUAAACUCCUUGAGAUUUUAAAGUCAGUUUAAUAGUAUUGAAAUUCAAGUUGAAUCUAGUAUAAAAAAGGUUUUAAUUGCUUAAAUUAUUUCUAUGAAUUAAUAAGUUAGCAUGACUUUUUCAUCAUAGCAUUUUUUACGAGCUGUAUUUGUUUUUUUCUUUUUUAAAUUUAUUAAUCGCUCGCAUAUCUCCUACAACCUACAAAUAAGGGCUAAUAGAGGUUCUUUAUUUUAUUAUUUAUUUAUAAUGUUUAUUCUCGAAGAAAAUAAGUAUUUAUUCUUUAAUAAAAUAAGGGACAGAAUAAGGGACGAUCCAAAUAUUUGUAAUGUACAAUAAUAUAGGCCUAUAUCUGCCUGCAGUUAAAAAGUUAUAUUUGUUUUGAUUCACCCAUUUAUGUAGGAUACAAUUAUUCUAAAAAUAAAAAUAAAUAAUGUCAUAAAAAACGCCAUCGGCCUGAAUAAAUUUUACCAUUAUAGAAUUGGGGUAGUAAUUUAGGAGGUGAAAAUACAGUGAAAUUACAAAUGGCAUGGGAUUUUAAUGUAUGACAACUGAAGGUCUAUGAAACGUUUCUAUGAUGCAUUUUUUUAAACAAUGGCACUUAAAGUUUUCAACUAAAAUAUUAUUUCAACCAUAUAGCCUGUGAAUAAAUAAAAUGCAUACUUUUCAAUGAAAGAACACUGAGAGUGUAGGUUGUGUCACAGCCUACACCCUCUCCACAUGCCACGCCUACUCGUUCACAAUCACCAGAAUUCUGAGCACCUGUCCAUCAUCACCAGGCUCUCAUAUAAAGCCUAUCACUUUCCCUCACUCCUCGUCUGAUCUAGCAUUGACUCACAUGUACUUACCUGAACCCUUGCUACCAUUGUUGUUCCUCUGGAUACCCAUUGUUCCUUCCUCGUCAGUUCCUCUGUGCUGCCUUCCGAUUCUGUCAUCUACUUCCAUCACAACCAGAGCUAAGUUCCAACCUUCUUCAUGUCAAGACUAUUCCAGUUGCUUCACCUGUGUCUGAAACCUCUGUCACAAUAAAUACAGCUACACGUUCACCUACCUCUGUGUUCCCGUCUUGUGUCUGACAGGUUACUUCUGGUGUUUGGAUUUUUACUUCAAUAUAUAAUGAGCUCCAAGUUUAAGAAUAGCCUACACUAAAACCAAACAAGAUUUGUAAUGAAGAUAAAAUGUAGACAAAUAAGAAUAAAUGCUGCACGUGCACUCAGCAUCAUGCGCGCUGAGCAAAUCUUGCUCUCUGACAUUUUACAGAAUAUUGUACAAACCUGCAAUUAAAUGCGGCUGCAAUUUAUUUAUUUCAUUUAUUUAUUUAUUUUUACUUAAAUUAUACGAAAGCAAGUAAAGAAGACUCCAUUUAAAAUCACUCAAGUUGUCAAUUAAUAAGGCUCUUUUUUACAUCGUGUGUAUUUUGUUGAUUAUAAUGAGAGAACUUCAGUUUAAACGUGAGGGCGUUUUAUUAAUCAGUCCAUUCUUUAGAGUUUCAGUGAUUUAGCUAAAUCGUGCAGGUUUAAUUUAUUCGUUUCUUGUUUAAAUUAGGCCUAAAUAAUGGGAGCGAAAAUAUACAGUCGCUCACGUUUUACUAAAAUACAGAAAAUAAUUUAUAAAACACGCAAGCCUAGCUCACAAUAGGCUACCACUCUUAAUGCUCCGAUGCAAAGUAAACCACAAUUUAUUUUGAAUAAUAUAACACACAAUUCAUAUUAUAUAAAUAAUACUGCACACUAUUUAAAUGUGUCAAAUCUAAAAUAUGGUGUAGAGAAAAUAUAAGCACAGGCUCAUAGGCUUGACAUUUAUCCUGCUUGAAUUCGUUCUAAGAAACGCACAUAUCUUCAUUAGGACUAAACUUUCAUCUGUGAAUAUUAAAUAUUUUUUCUUUCAUUUUCCCCGACUGCAGUCAAAUAUAACACAUCGGUGAGGCAAAGCUGACGUCUAUUCACGAAAAUGUGCUUUGCAUGCCCUUGUUUGAAAACUUGUGAUUAAAGCGCCACUCAGCGGUCAAAAGCUGCAAAUGCACUUUGCAGACGCCGCGGCAGCGGUACGAGCGGCGGUAGAACCGACGUUUUGGAUGGCCACCUACUGUACACACACAUACAUUUAAAUAAAAUAAAUAUAAACAUAAAAAAUUAUAAUAAUCUGCUAAUUUUUCUCCCAAAGACAAACCCCGGCUGGCCGGCCAUCGGUCCUUUCUCUGUGUCAAGGCUAAUUUAUACUUGACGCGUCCGCAAUUUCGCUUGGGUGAGCGCGGAAAAUAUGCCGUCAUCGUGGUGUUGCCGGAAGUUCGCUUUGAGUGUGCACAAAUUAUUCGCGUGGCGGAGUGCACGGCAUUUUUUGUAAUUUUCCGCAUCCGAACAUGCAUGAGUUCAGGGCGAUUCUAGCCGAACAUGCACGUCUAUGCCAGAGUUUGUAUGAAACAGAAGCGUUUUAAUGUGAAGUUCAAACUCCAUCAGGUGCUUUUUAAUGGAAAAUGUUUUUUUUGGGGAAAAAAAAGGUUUGCAUAGUUUGUCCAAGGCUUCUUAUUUGAAGUACGUUUUAUUUUUAUUGUAUAAAAUAGAAUUAGAAUUGAUUUAGAUAUUAAUUCUACACUAUUUGCUUAAAGUUGUCUUGUGUUUGAUGCGUAAUACAGCCAAUAGUUUAAGAUUGUUUUAAGUUUGUACAUAAAGAAAUGAUUAAUUCAUCAACUCAUUCAUCACAAGACUUGUACUGGCCAUACUGGCAAAUGACUUCUUCUCACCGGUGAUUCCCGACGGUUUUAGAGGACAACUAAUCCUCGUCGCUCCCCUGUCAUUUCAAAGAAUAGUACAAUGGCGAACGUGACAAGUAUAAAAGCCUCGUCCAUUUGGGAAGGUGUGCUUGCAGUCAGCGGAGCCAGGCGAAAGUAUUAAUCCCGCUUAACUUUGUUUUUUGUCAUCUUCUUAAUAAUGUCGCGAGUGGGGCUUGAGGAAGUGAUGUCGGUCGCGUCUGCGCAGAAACAGAAAUACUGCUAAAUAAUAAUAACGCGACUAAACAAGACGAAAAUAAUGUUAAAACAAUUUGUUUAAUCUUGUUUUGGUCAACGAAAAUGAAGAGACAUUUUAGCAUAGUUUUUAUUUUGUAAACCACAUUUAGUCUCGUUUUUA
ensembl:lncRNA